GGGCGACUAGUCUAGUGGUCAGGACGCUUCGUUGUGGUCUAGGGAAGUACUUGAGCAACGUUCCGAAGAAACCCAGGUUCGAUUCCUGGGUCGCCCA